rnacentral:rRNA from 1 species
UGGGGAAUUUUGGACAAUGGGCGAAAGCCUGAUCCAGCCAUGCCGCGUGAGUGAAGAAGGCCUUCGGGUUGUAAAGCUCUUUCAGAUGGAAAGAAAACGUACAGGUUAAUACCUUGUGCGGAUGACGGUACCAUCAGAAGAAGCACCGGCUAACUACGUGCCAGCAGCCGCGGUAAUACGUAGGGUGCGAGCGUUAAUCGGAAUUACUGGGCGUAAAGCGUGCGCAGGCGGUUAUGUAAGACAGAUGUGAAAUCCCCGGGCUCAGCCUGGGAACGGCGUUUGUGACUGCAGAACUAGAGUACGGCAGAGGGAGGUGGAAUGCCGCGUGUAGCAGUGAAAUGCGUAGAGAUGCGGAGGAACACCGAUGGCGAAGGCAGCCUCCUGGGCCAGUACUGACGCUCAUGCACGAAAGCGUGGGGAGCAAACA